GACCGCGUAACUCAGUUGGCAGAUCAUUGAGCUAGUAUUCCAAAGGUCGUAGGUUCGAUUCCUACCGUGGUCA
rnacentral:tRNA from 1 species